UACGGAGGGGGCAAGCGUUAUUCGGAAUUAUUGGGCGUAAAGCGCGUGUAGGCGGCUUUGCAAGUCGGGUGUGAAAGCCCUCAGCUCAACUGAGGAAGUGCGCCCGAAACUGCAGAGCUUGAGUACCGGAGAGGAUGGUGGAAUUCCCCAAGUAGAGGUGAAAUUCGUAGAUAUGGGGAGGAACACCGGUGGCGAAGGCGACCAUCUGGACGGAUACUGACGCUGAGACGCGAAAGCGUGGGUAGCAAACAGG
rnacentral:rRNA from 1 species